rnacentral:rRNA from 1 species
CCUUGAAAUACCACCCUUUAAUGUUUGAUGUUCUAACGUGGACCCGUGAUCCGGGUUGCGGACAGUGUCUGGUGGGUAGUUUGACUGGGGCGGUCUCCUCCUAAAGAGUAACGGAGGAGCACGAAGGUUGGCUAAUCCUGGUCGGACAUCAGGAGGUUAGUGCAAUGGCAUAAGCCAGCUUGACUGCGAGCGUGACGGCGCGAGCAGGUGCGAAAGCAGGUCAUAGUGAUCCGGUGGUUCUGAAUGGAAGGGCCAUCGCUCAACGGAUAAAAGGUACUCCGGGGAUAACAGGCUGAUACCGCCCAAGAGUUCAUAUCGACGGCGGUGUUUGGCACCUCGAUGUCGGCUCAUCACAUCCUGGGGCUGAAGUAGGUCCCAAGGGUAUGGCUGUUCGCCAUUUAAAGUGGUACGCGAGCUGGGUUUAGAACGUCGUGAGACAGUUCGGUCCCUAUCUGCCGUGGGCGCUGGAGAACUGAGGGGGGCUGCUCCUAGUACGAGAGGACCGGAGUGGACGCAUCACUGGUGUUCGGGUUGUCAUGCCAAUGGCACUGCCCGGUAGCUAAAUGCGGAAGAGAUAAGUGCUGAAAGCAUCUAAGCACGAAACUUGCCCCGAGAUGAGUUCUCCCUGAGACUUUAGGUCUCCUGAAGGAACGUUGAAGACGACGACGUUGAUAGGCCGGGUGUGUAAGCGCA